rnacentral:rRNA from 1 species
GUUAGGAAUAUUGGACAAUGGGCGCAAGCCUGAUCCAGCCAUGCCGCGUGAGUGAUGAAGGCCUUCGGGUUGUAAAGCUCUUUAGCCGAUGAUUAUAAUGACUGUAGUCGGAAAAUAAGCCCCGGCUAACUUCGUGCCAGCAGCCGCGGUAAUACGAAGGGGGCGAGCGUUAUUCGGAAUCACUGGGCGUAAAGCGUGCGUAGGCGGCUUUGCAAGUUGGGAGUGAAAGCCCAGGGCUCAACCCUGGAAUUGCUCUCAAAACUGCAAGGCUCGAAUUCGGGAGAGGAUAGCGGAAUUGUCAGUGUAGCAGUGAAAUGCGUAGAUAUUGACAGGAACACCAGUGGCGUAAGCGGCUAUCUGGACCGAUAUUGACGCUGAGGCACGAAAGCGUGGGGAUCAAACAGGAUUAGAAACCCCGUAGUCC